rnacentral:misc_RNA from 1 species
UGGUUCCGGCAUCGAUGAAGAACGCAGCGAAAUGCGAUAAGUAAUGCGAAUUGCAGAAUUCAGUGAGUCAUCGAAUCUUUGAACGCACAUUGCGCCCUCCGGUAUCCCGGGGGGAAUGCCUGUUCGAGCGUCAUUGCAACCCUCAAGCCUGGCUUGGUGUUGGGCGCCGCCUUGGGGCGCGCCUCAAAGCUAUCGGCGGUUGCGCUAGGCUUCCAGCGAAGUUGAUUCCCGCUGCGUGGCCGUGCUGCUACACCGCCAGCUUCCAGUAGUCCUCAGGGACAAAGGUUGACCUCGGACCAGGUAGGGAUACCCGCUGA